rnacentral:rRNA from 1 species
UACGGAGGGGGCUAGCGUUGUUCGGAAUUACUGGGCGUAAAGCGCACGUAGGCGGCUUUGCAAGUCAGAGGUGAAAGCCCGGGGCUCAACCCCGGAAUUGCCUUUGAGACUGCAUCGCUAGAAUUGUGGAGAGGUAAGUGGAAUUCCGAGUGUAGAGGUGAAAUUCGUAGAUAUUCGGAAGAACACCAGUGGCGAAGGCGGCUCACUGGCUCAUUUCUGACGCUCAGGCGCGACAGCGUGGGGAUCAAACAGG